GACGAACGCUGGCGGCGUGCUUAACACAUGCAAGUCGAACGGAAAGGCCCUGCUUUUGUGGGGUGCUCGAGUGGCGAACGGGUGAGUGACACGUGAGUAACCUGCCCUUGUCUUUGGGAUAACUUCAGGAAACUGGGGCUAAUACCGGAUAGGAGCUCCUGCUGCAUGGUGGGGGGUGGAACGUUUCGGCGGUUGGGGAUGGACUCGCGGCUUAUCAGCUUGUUGGUGGGGUAGUGGCUUACCAAGGGUUUGACGGGUAGCCGGCCUGGGAGGGUGAACGGCCACAUGGGGACUGAGGUAGGGACCAGACUCCUACGGGAGGCAGCAGUGGCGAAUAUUGCACAAUGGGCGGAAGCCUGAUGCAGAAACGCUGCGUGCGGGAUGACGGCCUUCGGGUUGUAAACCGCUUUAGCCUGUGACGAAGCGUGAGUGACGGUAAUGGGUAAAGAAGCACCGGCUAACUACGUG
rnacentral:rRNA from 1 species